ACUUCGCUUUGAAACAAGCAGCGCAAACAGUAUACUUAUUUAAUUAAUUAAUAAGACGCGGUCUUUUGCGAUUUGUGAAGGCCAUAAGCCAUUCGGUUUUAGUUCAUUUGACAUGUAUUUUGCCAAAGCAGUUUAUCUUUUUAUGUUAUUUCGAGAAGUUUUAAAAUAUUUUCGGUUCAUUGUGAAUGUGAAACAGUGGCGGCACAGAUUACAAUAUGGCGGCCGCCAGUCUAGGUACUUUCUGUUGUGUCUUUGAGACAGGAAAGUGUCGACGUGAGGUACACCUGGAAGGUGAAACGCAGGAGAGCAACAAGACAUCUCUCUCAUCAGUGUUACCCGCAAAGACAGGCGGCUGAAGUUAUUAGACAUGGCGCUUUCGAUGUAGCGUCUCACUGAAGCAGCAAAUUAACACAAAGACACGGCGACACAUUAAGAAAGAGGGAAAGAAGAAAUAUUCGUUUCCUGCUGUAUCCUUCCACUCUCACACCUCUCAAUUUCCUUCAUCGUUUAAUCUCACAAUCUGUUCCAGUAUUGACACAUCCUCGUGUGUAAUGUGGAGCCCAUUAGAUGUUGAGCAGCAGCGCGAGACUGGACAAGACUGAAACCCAGACCGAAUUCAUUAUUAAAAAAAAGGUGCAGUUGGAGGAUGGAUGUCACAGUUGCCAAAGGAGUGAGAUUUACAGGAGUAAGAGUAGUCUUGACUCUACAGAACUCAGACCUAAUUAAAUAAAGAAGUAAAGGUGGAGUUGGAAGAUGGAUGCCAGAGGAAUUGUCUAAGGAGUAAGAGCAUGACUGACACAACUAACCCAUGAGAGCCGGGCCCUCGGCCAGCCAAUCACGACCACCCCAGAUUCUCAAACCGACACCCACUUCCUGAUGUCUUGAGCUGGAAUGAGAAUCUGGAAAAGACACCGAAGUGAGGACAUACCUCAAGCUCCUCCCCUCCUGUCUGGAAGGCUCCUAUGGUGUUUAGCCCAACAUCUGCAGGGUUUCUGCGGGCCCCUGGAGCCCCCUCGCCUCUCCGCCGUCCACCGGACCCCCGAGAGGACAGUGAACUGGAGGAGCUGGGGUCCCUCUCUCCACGAGGACUGUGGACGGCUGGGAAAGAUGGGCGACUAUAAGCUUCUCCCUCGUCCAUGCCGCAAGCCAAGCGCGUCACUUUGAGUUUCCCAAGCAGCCGUGCGAAAGGCAUCGCAGCUCAUCAAGCAGGAUGUUCCAACACGUCCAAAUCAAAAGCCUCCAAAACGAGGAACGUUGUA